rnacentral:pre_miRNA from 1 species
CACAUACUCCUUCCGUCCCAAAAUUAUUGUCUUAUAUUUGUGUAAGUAUGAAAGUAUAUAGUCAUAUUUUAGUAUUUAGAUAAAUCCAUUUCUAAACAAACCUAAAACAAAAAAUUUAAGACGGAGGGAGUAUAUU